CUGGAGUGUCAUGACACUUUAGUGUGCUGCAUAUUACUGUGAUAUUUCGCCAAGAGUUAUUUGUUUGUACGUAAAUAAGCAUAUCCUCAAUCAUAAUCACCGUGUUAUGAGCAUUGUGUGUGUCAUUUUAGUUUCAUUACUUGUUUUAAGUGUCGUUAUUUUUAUGGAUCUAAAUUAGGAUGUAAUCAUACAAAAAUGGUUGAGAAACCCUAUCCUAAUGCAUAUCUCGUAUAUAAUGUUGGAGCUAAUGGUGUGUUUUUAAUUUAAC